rnacentral:rRNA from 1 species
CCAGACUCCUACGGGAGGCAGCAGUGGGGAAUAUUGCACAAUGGGGGAAACCCUGAUGCAGCGACGCCGCGUGAGCGAUGAAGUAUUUCGGUAUGUAAAGCUCUAUCAGCAGGGAAGAAAAUGACGGUACCUGACUAAGAAGCCCCGGCUGACUACGUGCCAGCAGCCGCGGUAAUACGUAGGGGGCAAGCGUUAUCCGGAUUUACUGGGUGUAAAGGGAGCGUAGACGGCUGUGCAAGCCAGAUGUGAAAGCCCGGGGCUCAACCCCGGGACUGCAUUUGGAACUGUGUGGCUGGAGUGUCGGAGAGGCAGGCGGAAUUCCUAGUGUAGCGGUGAAAUGCGUAGAUAUUAGGAGGAACACCAGUGGCGAAGGCGACUUACUGGGCUGUAACUGACGUUGAGGAGCGAAAGUGUGGGGAGCAGACAGGAUUAGAUACCCCCGUA